CGACGCCGCGUGCGGGAUGACGGCCUUCGGGUUGUAAACCGCUUUUGAUCGGGAGCAAGCCUUCGGGUGAGUGUACCUUUCGAAUAAGCACCGGCUAACUACGUGCCAGCAGCCGCGGUAAUACGUAGGGUGCAAGCGUUAUCCGGAAUUAUUGGGCGUAAAGGGCUCGUAGGCGGUUCGUCGCGUCCGGUGUGAAAGUCCAUCGCUUAACGGUGGAUCUGCGCCGGGUACGGGCGGGCUGGAGUGCGGUAGGGGAGACUGGAAUUCCCGGUGUAACGGUGGAAUGUGUAGAUAUCGGGAAGAACACCAAUGGCGAAGGCAGGUCUCUGGGCCGUUACUGACGCUGAGGAGCGAAAGCGUGGGGAGCGAACAGGAUUAGAUACCCUGGUAGUCCACGCCGUAAACGGUGGAUGCUGGAUGUGGGGCCCGUUCCACGGGUUCCGUGUCGGAGCUAACGCGUUAAGCAUCCCGCCUGGGGAGUACGGCCGCAAGGCUAAAACUCAAAGAAAUUGACGGGGGCCCGCACAAGCGGCGGAGCAUGCGGAUUAAUUCGAUGCAACGCGAAGAACCUUACCUGGGCUUGACAUGUUCCCGACCGCUCCAGAGAUGGGGCUUCCCUUCGGGGCGGGUUCACAGGUGGUGCAUGGUCGUCGUCAGCUCGUGUCGUGAGAUGUUGGGUUAAGUCCCGCAACGAGCGCAACCCUCGCCCUGUGUUGCCAGCACGUCAUGGUGGGAACUCACGGGGGACCGCCGGGGUCAACUCGGAGGAAGGUGGGGAUGACGUCAGAUCAUCAUGCCCCUUACGUCCAGGGCUUCACGCAUGCUACAAUGGCCGGUACAACGGGAUGCGACACGGCGACGUGGAGCGGAUCCCUGAAAACCGGUCUCAGUUCGGAUUGGAGUCUGCAACCCGACUCCAUGAAGGCGGAGUCGCUAGUAAUCGCGGAUCAGCAACGCCGCGGUGAAUGCGUUCCCGGGCCUUGUACACACCGCCCGUCAAGUCAUGAAAGUGGGUAGCACCCGAAGCCGGUGGCCUAACCCUUUGUGGAUGGAGCCGUCUAAGGUGAGACUCGUGA
rnacentral:rRNA from 1 species